CAGUCGCCGCGGGAAUACAGAGGGUGCGAGCGUUAAUCGGAUUUACUGGGCGUAAAGCGUGCGUAGGCGGCUAAUUGAGUCGGAUGUGAAAUCCCCGAGCUUAACUUGGGAAUUGCAUUCGAUACUUGUUAGCUAGAGUGUGGGAGAGGAUGGUAGAAUUCCAGGUGUAGCGGUGAAAUGCGUAGAGAUCUGGAGGAAUACCGAUGGCGAAGGCAGCCAUCUGGCCUAACACUGACGCUGAGGUACGAAAGCAUGGGGAGCAAACAGGAUUAGAUACCCCUGUAGUCCCUGUCUCUUAUAC
rnacentral:rRNA from 1 species